UGAUGGGGGUGCAGUGCAGUA
rnacentral:miRNA from 1 species